rnacentral:rRNA from 1 species
GUGUCAGCAGCCGCGGUAAAACGUAGGUGGCGAGCGUUAUCCGGAUUUACUGGGCGUAAAGCGUGUGCAGGCGGACUGUCAAGUGGUGCAUGAAAUCGCUCGGCUUAACCGGGCGCGGGUGUGCCAGACUGAUGGUCUGGAGUGCGGGAGAGGGGCGUGGAAUUCCGGGUGUAGUGGUGAAAUGCGUAGAGAUCCGGAGGAACCCCAGAGGCGAAGGCGGCGCCCUGGCCCGACACUGACGCUCAGACACGACAGCAUGGGGAGCGAACGGGAUUAGAAACCCCGGUAGUCCAUGCCGUAAACGAUGCCGACUAGGCGCUGGGGGUCUCAACCCCCUCGGUGCCGCAGAUAACUCGAUAAGUCGGCCGCCUGGGGAGUACGGCCGCAAGGCUAAA